UUAUCUACACCUAUAAGCGCCAGGGAAUUACGAGCCAUGCUUAAAACCCAAAGGAUUUGACGGUGUCCCACCCCCCUAGAGGAGCCUGUUCUAUAAUCGAUGAUCCCCGCUACACCCGACCACUUCUUGCUUAUCAGUCUGUAUACCUCCGUCGAAAGCUUACCAUGUGAACGCCACCCACAGUAGGUUCAAUGACCCCCGUCAAUACGUCAGGUCAAGGUGCAGCUUAAGAAGUGGGAAGUGAUGGGCUACAAUUUCUAAUCUAGAACAAACGAAAGACUAUGUGAAACCCUAGUCACGAAGGCGGAUUUAGCAGUAAAAAGAAAAUAGAGUGUUCUUUUUAAUCUGGCUCUGGGACGCGUACACACCGCCCGUCACC
rnacentral:rRNA from 1 species